rnacentral:rRNA from 1 species
CAGCAGCCGCGGGAAUACGGAGGGCGCGAGCGUUACCCGGAUUUACUGGGCGUAAAGGGCGUGUAGGCGGCCUGGGGCGUCCCAUGUGAAAGGCCACGGCUCAACCGUGGAGGAGCGUGGGAUACGCUCAGGCUAGAGGGUGGGAGAGGGUGGUGGAAUUCCCGGAGUAGCGGUGAAAUGCGCAGAUACCGGGAGGAACGCCGAUGGCGAAGGCAGCCACCUGGUCCACUUCUGACGCUGAGGCGCGAAAGCGUGGGGAGCAAACCGGAUUAGAGACCCCAGUAGUCCCUGUCUCUUAUAC